UACGUAGGGUGCAAGCGUUAAUCGGAAUUACUGGGCGUAAAGCGUGCGCAGGCGGCUUUGCAAGACAGAUGUGAAAUCCCCGGGCUCAACCCGGGAACUGCGUCCGAUACUGGCAGGCUUGAAUCCGGGAGAGGGAUGUGGAAUUCCAGGUGUAGCGGUGAAAUGCGUAGAUAUCUGGAGGAACACCGGUGGCGAAGGCGGCAUCCUGGACCGGCAUUGACGCUGAGACGCGAAAGCGUGGGGAGCGAACAGG
rnacentral:rRNA from 1 species